UACCAGCACCCCGAGUGGUUGGGACGAUUAUUGGGCCUAAAGCAUCCGUAGCCGGUCCUACAAGUCUUCCGUUAAAUCCACCUGCUUAACAGAUGGGCUGCGGAAGAUACUAUAGAGCUAGGAGGCGGGAGAGGCAAGCGGUACUCGAUGGGUAGGGGUAAAAUCCGUUGAUCCAUUGAAGACCACCAGUGGCGAAGGCGGCUUGCCAGAACGCGCUCGACGGUGAGGGAUGAAAGCUGGGGGAGCAAACCGG
rnacentral:rRNA from 1 species